rnacentral:lncRNA from 1 species
CUCGAUCAGCAGUCGGAAACUUCCCCGGUGCGGCGGCGGGUGGCGGCGGCCGGCUCCUCCGGCGUCUGGUUCUUCUUCUCCGGCGAGCACUAGCGGCUAGGGUUUCUUUGGUCAGGUGUGGGUGGGGUUAUUUAUACCCUUUGCCUUUUAAUCUUGACCGUCCAUCAAGAUUGAAUCUGGGCCGUCCGAUCGCGAUUUAAUUGGAAUUAAAUCUGGGCUAUUCAUCGCGAUGCAAUCUGGGCCAUCCGUGCCUGAUUGAAUCUGGGCCGUCCGUGCGCGUGGAUCUGGGCUGUCCGUGCGCACGUUUGAUCUGGGCUGUUCGUGUUCGCGGGAACGGAUCUGGGCCGUCCGAUCGUGCGCACGUAGAUCGCCCACGUGGCCCGUUCCCUGGUCAGCGUUGCCUUGCCACGCGGUACGUUCUGGUUGGCCGGGACUGCUGACCGGGCCGCUGACGUGGCUGCUGACGUGUUGCAACUUUUUUAAAUUGUAUUUUGACCCC